GCCAGUGUGGCACAGUGGUUUAAGCAAUGGGCAGCAACUCUGGAGACCAGGGUUCGAUUCCCAGCUCGGCCA